AAGUGGCACUACCGGGGCCCCCAAGAUGGUGGAGCACUCCCCAGGCCAGCUAUGGUCUGGGUUUCGUGGCCAGUGGAAGGCAGUGGGUGGCCUUGACCGAAUCAGACAUCUUCUGGAACACGACUGACACUGCUUGGGUGAAGGCAGCCUGGACCCUCUUCUCCGCCUGGCCUAAUGGAUCUUGCAUUUUUGUGCAUGAACUUCCCCGAGUUGAUGCCAAGGUUAUCCUGAAGACUCUCUCCAGGCUCCCAAUCACCACCCUCUGCUGUGUCCCCACCCUCUUCCGGCUGCUUGUUCAAGAGGAUCUGACCAGCAUACACACCGAUAUCCUUGGCAGACAGCCCUCAACAGUGAACUUCUGGCCCCUAGGAAUUUGCAUCCAGGUGGAACUGAAUAGAUAUGAGACAGUCUGAAAUUUCAGCGCUUGAGCCCCAGACUAACUCCAGCCAGCCAUUCUCUGAGUGAAUGCCACUGAACACUCAACAGAAGGGGACAAGACACUGUGGAUGGCUUCCAUUCUGGGUGAAUCCAAAGGAACAUCUUCUGGCAGGACAAGUGUAGUUGCUGGCGUAUGUGGAGAGAGACCUGACACCCUUGAGAAUCCUACCUGGUAGGAUGGACCCUGGUCUAUGACUCCUUCUUCUGUCCUCUCCCAAGUCUUGGGGAGUUGUCCCUGCCCUCCCCUCAUCUUCCCUAAUCCCAUGUAUCUGGCCAAGAAGUGUCUAAGAGAGUGUGUUCUUACAGGAUUGUCUCAAGGUGAAUUUUUCUAUAAUAUGAGAAUUUAUCCAUUCACUGA